UACGAAGGGGGCUAGCGUUGUUCGGAAUCACUGGGCGUAAAGGGCGUGCAGGUGGUCUGUUAAGUCUGGCGUGAAAGCUCUCGGCUAAACCGGGAGAGGUCGUUGGAUACUGGCGGACUAGAGGACGGUAGAGGCGUGUAGAAUUCCGGGUGUAGUGGGUGAAAUGCGUAGAGAUCCGGAGGAACACCAGUGGCGAAGGCGACACGCUGGGCCGUAC
rnacentral:rRNA from 1 species